rnacentral:rRNA from 1 species
GACGAACGCUGGCGGCGGGCUUAACACAUGCAAGUCGAACGGAAAGGCCCUGCUUUGGUGGGGUGCUCUGGGGGCGACCUGGGGAGUAACACGUGGGUAACCUGCCCUGGACUUUGGGAUAACUUCAUAACACUUAGGCUAAUACCGGAUAGGAGUUCCUGCUGCAUGGUGGGCGUGGGAAAGUUUAGGCGGUUGGGGGUGGACUCGCGGCUUAUCAGCUUGUUGGUGGGGUAGUGGCUUAGCAAGGCUUGUCCGGGUAGCCGGCCUGCGAGGGGGACCGGCCACAUUGGGCCUGAGAUACGGCCCAGACUCCUACGGGAGGCAGGGGAGGGGAAUAUUGCAUAGUGGGCGGAAGCCUGAUGCAGCACAGCCGCGUGCGGGAUGACGGCAUUCGGGUUGUAAACCGAUUUCGCCUGUGACGAGGCGUGAGUGACGGUACUGGGUAAAGAAGCACCGGCUAACUACGUG